CAGGCUGAGGAUAUUUAAACCGAACAGUUCAAGUAUGAUAUCAUAUCAAGUAUGAUAGUCACAGAGUUGGACUGAAUCACAGUUUUUGAAGAUUAUAGUACUUCUUGAAGCCAUCAGGAGGAAGCUUUCGUAUUAAGUUCCACUGAAGCGACCUGGAAUAAAUGUUGACCACUGUGGGAUAAACACUUGGAGAUGCUUGACGGGCAAAAAGGACUCGGUUACAACAGCAUCAUACAGUAGAGAAGAUUAAGACUCCAAUCACUAUAGCACAAGGAAGGAUGAUGUGCUUCAAAGAGACACGAGUGGGGUUCUAUGAGAGAAUCCAGGAAGAAGAGGCGAAUUGCACGUGAGUGGAAAGGUUACACUGGAGGGAAGCCUACAGUUCCUUUCUCUGUGGAAUCGAAUGAAGACUGGGGCGAGUUGUGAUGCUGAGCUGGAGUUAACGUUUACUGCAGAGUAAAGUAGAAAUGGACAGCUUCAAUCAAGCUGCUCAAACCAAAGCACACGAAAUUGCUAUUUUUUAACAAAAAAUAAAGUG